CCAAGUCCAGCCCGCUAGACAGCAAGUGUCCAGCAGGAUUACAGCCACAGGGACAGUUAAGAAAAUACUUCUUGUAUUUCUCAGAAACAGCUUUUAGAAACCACAGUUUGUACAGCUCCCCAUAGAAAAGGAACGGGUCGGGCACGGCAGCCCGGUUCUUCCAUUAGUAAAAACGCUUGUUCCGCUCCUGGCGUUUCUGGAAGACCACAGCUCCCACCACAGCACACACAAUGAUGCCCAGCAGCGCGCAGAGCAGGAGCAGGAACACCUUCCAGCCCGUCAGGGGCCCACUGCGGAAAUUCCCCGUCGGGUCAUCCACAUUGUCUUUGGGAGAUUUAAGGAGACUGACGCUUGGCUCGAUCUUUGUCCAGUCAACGGUGUCAUCUUCUAGAGGAUGCUCCACCAUGAGCUGGAAUAGCUUCAUUGAAAUAAUGUCAUGAUUGUCAGAUAAGUCUCCAGUGCCUGCAGAAGCACCGAAAAAGUAGCCAGUGGGCAGCUGUACCCCUGCAAUGUCAAUGCAGUUCUUCCAUUCAUUCUUGUCUUCUACAUCUGUCAUCACCGUCAGGCGACCUCGGGAGUACCGAACUGCCAGGAAAGUGUCGUGAUUCUGGUUCCGAAUCUCGGCGGUGCAUCCUGCCAGCUCCGUCCAGCGCCCGUCCUUACUGUGGUCGUAAGUCAGGGAGCCGUUGUUCACCAUCGCAGAGAUGUAGGGGAACACACGCUCUGUUGCUUCAUCAUUGGGGUACGUAUCGAGGAAAAUAGCCAGCCCAUGAAAAUUGUCCCUGCUGCCAAAAACAGGACCUGGCACGAGGCGCUCCUGCGUGUACCACAGGGCCAGGCCAUCCCCGUGCAGGUUCUUCUUGCCAGCGCCGUGGAUCCUGAAGUGGACGUGCAGCUCCCAGUCCUUCAGAAAGCAGGGCACGCGGUUCCAGAUGGAGCCUUCCCGGCUGCGUUCAUCAGGCGUCAGGCGCACGUACUGGCUGGUAACCAUGGUGCUGCCCUGGAAGUCCCACAGCGGCAUCGCGGCGGAGCCUGCGCCCUGGUACGGUUUCAUCAGCGAGUGCUCGCGCUUCAGGUGCUCGCUGUUGCCAUCCGUAAGCUCGGCGGGGGCCAGCCGCGGGCCGGCCCCCGCCAGCAGCAACAGCGCGACCGCCACCAGCUGCGCGCCUGCCGCCAUCCUCCGUUUCCGCCUUCCGCCGCGCCGCGCCCACC
rnacentral:lncRNA from 1 species